UUCCACAAUAACAGAAGAAUCCAACAACUGUCAUGAUGUUCUCAUCCUCGAACAAGCUGCUCCAUGUUCAGGCCAUGUAGUCUGUCUCCCUGCACUGUGCUCUGGAUACCCAAGAGGCUCCUGGUCCUGUGGCUUUCUUGUGGACUCUGCUGCUCAUCUCCUGUGUCACUGAGAGCUGAAAUUGUGGAUCACCCUCUUGUCCUGAACAUUCUCGCCUUUCUUCAUUUCUAUGACAAUGCUCACUCCUGUGACUACCUGUGUCUGUCCACUUCUCAGUCUACUUAGCCAGAUUAUUAUCUGCCUCCAACCCUGAAAUCCAAGAAACAUUGAUAAGCACAGUGGUAUGACAAGAAAGGACAACUUCUAGUUCAACUUUAUACAGAAUUAAUUGGAGCAUGAAUUUAGAUAAUAUGGAUUUACCAAUAAUCUACUGCAUUAUAAUCAAAUUUAGAG
rnacentral:lncRNA from 1 species